GACUGUGUUUUGAUUGGUUUAGGCAUCAGGGAUCAAUAUCUCACUACCUGGAAAGCUUUGAUACUUUGUAUAUGUAUUUGGUAGAAGUUAUUUUAAAUCAGUAAUAUAUUAGUUUUAAAUGGAUGGAAUUAUUAGUCAGAGGUUAGUUACUUUCAUUUAUAAGGUUCCUAUCAGUUUUUGCUGGUCUUAUAAAGUGAUAGAUAAUGAUUUUAACCUUUACAGUUUUGGACUUUUCUGAUUAAGACAGAUUAGUAUAUUUUGAGUAAAAUCAUGUUUCAUAAAUGGCAGUCUUCUCACAUAUCUCUGUCUCUUUCUUUAAUUACACAUUUAACAAUUUAAUCAUUUGCAGACCAUUAACCUGAAUCACAGUGUGAUAGAGCAGAUGAGUUGUUGGUGCAGCUGGUGAUGUUUUCUAUAGUGGUGAUGCAUUUAAGUCUACAACUUGGAUGCUUAGUUUAACAACCAAUAAAUUGAUAAAGGUACUUAAGAGCUUGUUUCCUACACAUGGCCUCCAGAUGGACCUACUCCUCAAUCCCCACUAGCAGUUAUACUUCUUUAUAAUUUAGAAAAGGACUUUAGGUAAAACUAGCCAAGUGACAAAUGGCGACCAACGUGAUAUUGUGUAUACAAGCCAGACACACCAGUGAAGAACAUCAGCCAGCAACACUAGAUUAGUAGAUAUACACAUGAACGCUCAUUUAAAAACAGUGAUUCACGUGAAAAAUUUAUAUGGAUUUUUAUUGGUGUAAAUACGGUAAUCAGAUUGAUUCUGAUACUUCCACAGAACUGGAUGUUGAAGUUAUUUUCUGCUUCAGAACAUUUUUGUAAUUUAAAUACAAAUCAGAGGACUAGUAUUUACAGUGACGACGAAAAGAGAGUUAAUUUUGAACAGUUAAUUUAUAAACAGUGACAAUGGAUUUAUUUAUAACAGUGUUGAACAGUGAAUUUAAUUUUUGGAUUUUAAGUGAAAAGUAUUUAUCACUUUUCAUUUUGAAUACGGGAAGAAAGUACAGUGGAGAACAGUGAUUUACAGUAAUUUGAACCGUGAUUUAGUUCCGAACACCAGGAGCUGAGUGUUAUUUUCAAAGCAAACAGUUUAAGACAGUGGCAGUGUUGUGUGUAUAAGUGGCAUAAUAGGACAUUAUCCAUUUUACAAGAAUUUUACAGUAGAACAGUUUUAAAGUACAGAACAGUUAUCAACUGUUGACCAUUAACCUGAAUCACAGUGUGAUAGAGCAGAUGAGUUGUUGGUGCAGCUGGUGAUGUUUUCUAUAGUGGUGAUGCAUUUAAGUCUACAACUUGAUUAAAAGUGGAUCUGUAUUUACGAUGUUGUCUAUUCCAAAUUUUAUAUAACAUACCUAUUUGAAAAUGAAAAUUGAAGACAUAGCUACUAAACCGAGAAUAGACACUACAGGAAAGCCUGGUAGUCUAUACAGCUGAGACAAACUGAAAGACGGAGAUUAAAAUUAAUGGCCCAGGUAAAAAAAAACUACCGAGGCAGAUGAGGCAGAAAAAAAUCAACCGAGGCAAAUAAGGCAGAAAAAAAUGACCGAAACAAGUAUCUCGAUUGCCUCAGUAGUCGCUACGGCCAUGAAAGUUUGUAUACAAUCACAUGUCUAUACGAUUAUACCGAAUAAAUACAAUACACUGUCUAAUUAUAAGCGUAUUUCCUGUCUUUGAUUACCUGUUUUGAGGCCAUCGUGUUAUCGAAUUUUGUGUUUAUUUAUUAGUGGGCUUGCUGUUUUUUCAUAUUUGCAUGAUACAGAGAAAAUGUGCUAAAAGUAAAGAUAAAACCUAGAACUGACGAAAGCGAACAUAAAUAAGUGAACUUGAAGAUAAGUUAUUUUUAUACACAUUUACUUCGCAGGAACGAUCGUGUUUAUUAGUGACCUAACUUCGUCCUGGGCUUGCAGUUGUGAUGCAUGUAAAUAUUAAUUUCGUAUGCAACCACAUGUCAAUGAGUUUAUACCGAGUAAAUACAUUAAACAUAUCCAGUGUCUUUGAUUACCAGUUUUGAGGCCAUCACGUUCACUCAUUACUUCCGGAGAGCUGCGACCAUUGUAUUUUUUCGAAUGGUGAAUUAUUUAUGAGGGGGCUUGCUGUCAUGAUACGGGGCAAGAUUUGCAUAAAGUCACAUGUCAAUAAGUUUAUGCCGAAUAAACACAUUAAACAUAUCCAGUGUCUUUGAUUACCUGUUUUGAGGCCAUCACGUUCACUCAUUACUUCCGGAGAGCUUCGACCAUCGUAUUUCGAAUGGUGAAUUAUUACGUAAGAUGCAAAGUAAAAGAUUUCCCGGAAGCACAGAGCACCCGAAACACAGCCAUAGAGCCAUUCAUUGCAAAAUAAGCCCAUAGCAGAAAGAAGCUGUAACGCUCAGAAUAAUGUUGUAUAAUGUAAGUCAUGUCUACAUAAAGAAACACUUAUAUUGAUAAAGUUUAAACUGGAUGGCAUUGUUGUGCAAAUGAUAUGCUAUGUAUUUUAUUUGAUGAAUAGAGGAAAGUACAACCAUUUAAAAAAGUUUAGAGUGUUGUAAAGUCUGAAUAAUUGCAUUAGACACUAUCUUUACGUAU